rnacentral:rRNA from 1 species
CCUACGGGUGGCAGCAGUCGAGAAUCAUUCACAAUGGGGGAAACCCUGAUGUUGCGCCGCCGCGUGGGGGAAUGAAGGUCUUCGGAUUGUAACCCCCUGUCUUGUGGGAGCAAAUUAAAAGGAUAGUACCACAAGAGGAAGAGACGGCUAACUCUGUGCGAGCAGCCCCGGUAAUCCAGAGGUCUCAAGCGUUGUUCGGAAUCACUGGGCGUAAAGCGUGCGUAGGAUGUUUCGUAAGUCGUGUGUGAAAGGGGCGGGCUCAACCCGCGGAAGGCACAUGAUACUGCGGGACUAGAGUAAUGGAGGGGGAACCGGAAUUCUCGGUGUAGCAGUGAAAUGCGUAGAGAUCGAGAGGAACACUCGUGGCGAAGGCGGGUUCCUGGACAUUAACUGACGCUGAGGCACGAAGGCCAGGGGAGCGAAAGGGAUUAGAUACCCGGGUAGUC